rnacentral:tRNA from 1 species
UCCCUGGUGGCUCAGAUGGUAAGAGUAUCUGCCUACAAUGCAGGAGACCUGGGCUCAAUCCCUGGGUUGGGAA